AUUUAAGGAGGCAUUAUUUCAUGAUUGCACACACCAAAGGCCCAAUGUUACAUGGCUAUAAAUAAAGGUUUUUGGUCUAGACCAUGUAUCACAUUCUUCAAUUGCAUGUUCUUUGCCGCAAACUAUCUUUAGGGUGAAGUGAGAAGAGAGAGAGAUCAUGAAGAAGAGAAAGAAGAAAGAAAAAAAAAACCGAAUUUGAUGUUCAUCGUUGCAUCAAAUUCUCUAUAUCAAAUCAGUAAAUUACCUGAAAAUUACUAUAUAGUACUCUAAAUUGCUUCUUCAUUGGAGUAAUUCCGAACUUCUCUAAACAGGCCGCAUGCUUAAACAGAAUUACCAUGCUUCGAGAUGGGCUUUCCACAAUACCAUAUAUUCGUUUGUGGAUAUCGUCUACAGUCUGGCUGACUAAGAGGUUAAACAUAUUUGCACUUGGAUAUAUGGUUGUGGAACUCUGAGAGAGCAUAGUCCGGCUGCGGCCGAAAUGGUACUAUAUUGGCGGAUGAAGUUCGGGUUUUACUCCAAUGAGUGGAGAUGCAAAAAAUUGAAUCACCAACUUAAACACCUUAAUGUUCCCCAAAACAACAAGGUUGCAUAAGGUUUGUUGGUGGUCAAGAAUCCAAUCAAGAGGAUUGAUUCUUUAUGAGUACUAAUAAAUUUAUUUUAUUUUUAUCCGCACAUUUAAGGUGUAUCAGGGUGUACUGGGCAUUCUUUCACUUUUUCCGAUCAAAGUAUGAGUAGAAAAUGUGAGAGAGGCCAUCGAUUGGCAUCAAAAUAUCCAACCUUGGGUAAACGGUGCACAGUGCAUGUCCUAAGAAUUUUAAAAAAUACAGUAUCCGGUUAGUGGACCUUGAUGUUAUCUUAAGUACUAGUGACUUUUGUGAGUAUUUAUUACUUCCUUCGUCCCUAAAUGUUUUUCCCGUUUCCUUUGAAGGUGUCUCAAAAUGAUCUUCUCAUUUCUUUUCUUUCUUUUCAUAUUUAAUCUCCUCUUUGUAAUCUGUAUGCUUGUAACCUUGUAAUUAAUUCUAUUGGUUUAUCAA